UGCUAUGGAAGUGAGACUGCUGGACACCCCUUGCUGGUGAGGAUGGGAGCCUGUCUGGGAAGGGCUGGUGGUGUCUCAUAGUCAUCACCCACUGGCACCCUCCCUCCCACGUGUCCAGCUUUAAAUGUGAUUGUUCUGUCUUCAUUGCGUGAAGAUAAGGUUAUAGCUGUACCACGUAAGAGCACCUUUUUGACAUUGUUUGAAAUCCCUGAGUAUUACAGGACCUUUGGGAGAGGAGCGUGUUUCUGUAUCGUCACUGGUCCGUGAUUAGAGCUUGCUUUGCCUCUGCUAUCUGGCGAGGAGAUCAACCGUGGCCCUUGCCAUCUCCAUCUGUGUUCCUGGUGGAAUGAUAUAGACCCAAUCUUCUACCACAGUGUUUGGCUUCCUGGUGGCUGGACCUCUGCUAAUGUUUGCAGUCUUAAUUGGCAAAUAGAUCAACAGGAAGCCAAGAAAUAAAGCCUCCAAGUGUUCCUGUGCCUGGUGGAAUCGUCUGGCAUGAGGAGAGAGGAUGGACUGUAGUUGGGGGUCUAUGAGCGGCCUUCCCAAAGAUGUACCUAGACAUCGGGAUCAAAUGAGAAGGCUCCUGAUGAUAUGGCUGAUCUUACUGGAGCGGGCAGGUGCACAGUUACCCAGGUUAUGCACUGAGUGACCCCCCAUGAGCUCCAGUCAGACUCCAAGGUAAUCAGCACCUGCAGGGCACAGUCCUCUUCACCCGACGCGCGCAGCGCCCCUACCUGGUCAUGGCGGGAAACACAUCCAG